rnacentral:rRNA from 1 species
GACGAACGCUGGCGGCGUGCUUAACACAUGCAAGUCGAACGGAAAGGCCCUGCUUUUGUGGGGUGCUCGAGUGGCGAACGGGUGAGUAACACGUGAGUAACCUGCCCUUGACUUUGGAAUAACUUCAGGAAACUGGGGCUAAUACCGGAUAGGAGCUCCUGCUGCAUGGUGGGGGUUGGAAAGUUUCGGCGGUUGGGGAUGGACUCGCGGCUUAUCAGCUUGUUGGUGGGGUAGUGGCUUACCAAGGCUUUGACGGGUAGCCGGCCUGAGAGGUUGACCGGCCACAUUGGGACUGAGAUACGGCCCAGACUCCUACGGGAGGCAGCAGUGGGGAAUAUUGCACAAUGGGCGGAAGCCUGAUGCAGCAACGCCGCGUGCGGGAUGACGGCCUUCGGGUUGUAAACCGCUUUCGCCUGUGACGAAGCGUGAGUGACGGUAAUGGGUAAAGAAGCACCGGCUAACUACGUG